rnacentral:sRNA from 1 species
AGGAUAGGUAACUCUUUAUCAGAAUUCAUUUAAUAAAAAUAUAUAUGGGACUUUUUCGGCAUAUUUGGUGUCGACAAUCAAAAUGUUGCUUUUCUCAUAGACUGUUCAGACCUGGUGAAUAUGGUGUUUUUCCCAACCGAUUGGCCGACUUUUUCAGCAUAUUUGACGGAUUUUCAAAGCGAUGGGAAGAAUUCUUGGCUUUUUCUUUAUUAUUAGUUUCUUGCAGUGCAAAUGUAAAAGCGGAUUCUUUAUCGAAAAAUUCGUACCGAACUGCAUCAUAUCACCUAUGUAAACAACAUUCCACAAGAAUGACUCAAUUGAGCUCUCUUUAAUAAAUCGGUUGACAAAAAAU